rnacentral:rRNA from 1 species
CAGUAGCCACGGUAAUACGAGGGGAGCUAGCGUUGUUCGGAAUUACUGGGCGUAAAGCGCGCGUAGGCGGCUUUUUAAGUCAGAGGUGAAAGCCCGGGGCUCAACCCCGGAAUUGCCUUUGAAAUUGGAAAGCUAGAAUCUUGGAGAGGUCAGUGGAAUUCCGAGUGUAGAGGUGAAAUUCGUAGAUAUUCGGAAGAACACCAGUGGCGAAGGCGACUGACUGGACAAGUAUUGACGCUGAGGUGCGAAAGCGUGGAGAGCAAACAGGAUUAGAUACCCCGGUAGUCCCUGUCUCUUAUAA